rnacentral:siRNA from 1 species
CAUGCCUGUCGGGACCCGAAAGA